rnacentral:sRNA from 1 species
UGCCUUCUCUUGGGUCGCAACACUUAUGUACAUAUGCGUAGUUUUAAAGUGACUAGAUCAACGGUAUAUAAAAAUAAACCGAAACAUAGCAAAUAGCUGACACUCAUGUGCUGGCUUUUCUGUGUGAUGCUACGUUUCAAUGUAGACUUCCUCGUGGUAUACUUGAGCUGCGUCGGAUUAAAGUAGCGGAAGUUAAAGCGCUUCUAACAAUUGAGAAUGUCCAGACUCACGUUUGAUGACAUUGCCUCCCCAUCCCAGAAGAUCGCUAGCAUUUGUUCUGUUUUGGAGGAUUAUGUUCAGCGAUGCAGAGUAACUGCUUAACAUCCUGAAUGGCAUUCUGCAAAGAAGUGACAAGUCUUUGUAAUUGUUCUGAAGAUUCGACAGGUUGGAAGUUACUGCUCUCAUCCACUUGUAGCACUAGUUCCUCUAUUGAAUUAAUUUGAACUUGGGAUUCAUCUACGAUAUAUGAACUUUAACUCCACUUUUAACGCCCACCAUUUUGUCGUUUA